rnacentral:rRNA from 1 species
GAUGAACGCUGGCGGCGUGCCUAAUACAUGCAAGUCGAGCGAAUGGAUUAAGAGCUUGCUCUUAUGAAGUUAGCGGCGGACGGGUGAGUAACACGUGGGUAACCUGCCCAUAAGACUGGGAUAACUCCGGGAAACCGGGGCUAAUACCGGAUAACAUUUUGAGCCGCAUGGUUCGAAAUUGAAAGGCGGCUUCGGCUGUCACUUAUGGAUGGACCCGCGUCGCAUUAGCUAGUUGGUGAGGUAACGGCUCACCAAGGCAACGAUGCGUAGCCGACCUGAGAGGGUGAUCGGCCAAACUGGGCCUCAGACACGGCACAGACUCCGACGGGAGGCAGCAGUAGGGAAUCUUCCGCAAUGGACGAAAGUCUGACGGAGCAACGCCGCGUGAGUGAUGAAGGCUUUCGGGUCGUAAAACUCUGUUGUUAGGGAAGAACAAGUGCUAGUUGAAUCAGCUGGCACCUUGACGGUACCUGACCAGAAAGCCACGGCUAACUACGUGCCAGCAGCCGCGGUAA